rnacentral:rRNA from 1 species
GUGGGGAAUAUUGGACAAUGGGCGCAAGCCUGAUCCAGCAAUGCCGCGUGUGUGAAGAAGGCCUGCGGGUUGUAAAGCACUUUAAGCAGGAAAGAAGGCUUCGGAGCUAAUAUCUUCGAAGAUUGACGUUACCUGCAGAAUAAGCACCGGCUAACUCCGUGCCAGCAGCCGCGGUAAUACGGAGGGUGCGAGCGUUAAUCGGAAUUACUGGGCGUAAAGCGCGCGUAGGCGGUUUGCUAAGUCCGCUGUGAAAGCCCUGGGCUUAACCUGGGAACUGCAGUGGAUACUGGCAGGCUAGAGUAUGGUAGAGGAGAGUGGAAUUUCCGGUGUAGCAGUGAAAUGCGUAGAGAUCGGAAGGAACACCAGUGGCGAAGGCGGCUCUCUGGACCAAUACUGACGCUGAGGUGCGAAAGCGUGGGGAGCAAACAGGAUUAGAAACCCCGGUAGUCC